CCAGGAUAUAAAACACAAGAAGGGUGAGGAUUAUGAGACUGUGCUAGGUGGAUUUCCCGAUACUCACGACCAGAUUUUUAAAGAAUGCCAAAUGCUGGCACAUGGGAAGAUUCACACGGUAAAGAAGAGACCUUCACCUCCUCUCACUAGAAAGAAAGCAAAAGGGAAAGAACCUAUGAGAUGGUUUGAUGUGUUCAAAUGGAUCUCUAAGAAUGUUGAGUACAGUGUUAAGGAUAUCAGUCUGAAAGAGGCGCCCUCUUGAUUUAAGGGUCGUGCAAAGUCGAGCUAACCGACUUUAAACAAAGCGCUGCGUGGGAGGCAACCCACGAGUUUUUAUUUUAAUGUUUUCAUUUGAAUUUGCAGAAAAUAAAGAGAUCGAUCGCUUAACACCCAUAAGUUGCAAAUCUCCAGGUUUUGCACUCCAAUUAUACUCUAGAGUUGCAACAGUGAGGACACUGUUGAAUUUAAGUUUAGGGGAGCAUUUCACUACUUUUAUUUAUUUUUCAGUCAUUUCAAUUUAUUUCCCUUUUCGCAUAAUAAAAAAUUAAAUUUAUAGUGUUUUCUUUGGUUUUUCUAAAUUUUUCCUUUUCUUGAGCCAAUUUAAAAUUUUUUUCUAAAUAUUUAGGACAAUUAUUCACUUAGAAAGUAUAUAGGUUAAGAAAGGAUGAGAGGCUAAGUUAAGGAAAUUAGGGAAUUUUACAACAAAAUCGGUAUUUUUCCAACACCCAGAAGUCUCCCUAGUAUAGAUAUCAAUUUGAAUAGCCAUUGUGCAAAAAUCUCCUUAUUUAAAUUUGUGGAUUCCUUUAGUAGUUUAUUUAUCCAGUCGGACACCAUCUAUAGUCACACAUUAAGUAAGUUUGUCGAUGAAUAUAAGCGAAUCAUCAAAGUAAAUUAAAGGUCAUACUGUGGUAAUACGGUUAAACCUUGGAAAAAAAAAUUUGAAUAUUGCUUGUGAAAGUAAUACGAAAAUUUGCAUCAUCAAGAUAAUUUGCGAGAAAAAAAAGAGUAAAAUCGCUAACCGAUUUUCUUACCAUGUGUGUGACAUAGAUAAAGGGUCUUAAUGUGACUGUCUAGAAUGAAAAAGGAUAAAACAAAGGAAAUGAUCUAGAUUUUAG
rnacentral:lncRNA from 1 species